CUCUGGACCCUGGGAUCAUGUCCUGAGAGCCAAAGGCAGACGCUUAACCGACUGAACCACGAAGAACCCAGAUAGAGUUGAUGCUUCACUGUGUUCCUAAUUGAAGAAAGAUUAAUAUAGUGGAUUCUCACUGACAAAGAUUGGGAAGAUAAAGAAGCUUGGAAGGAAAGAUAGGAAUCUUU